UCUCCGUUGGUGAACCAGCUGAGGGAUCAUUACCGAGUUUACAACUCCCAAACCCCUGUGAACAUACCAUUUGUUGCCUCGGCGGUGCCUGCUUCGGCAGCCCGCCAGAGGACCCAAACCCUUGAUUUUAUACAGUAUCUUCUGAGUAAAUGAUUAAAUAAAUCAAACCUUUCAACAACGGAUCUCUUGGUUCUGGCAUCUAUCAAUAAC
rnacentral:misc_RNA from 1 species